rnacentral:rRNA from 1 species
UGGGGAAUAUUGCACAAUGGGGGAAACCCUGAUGCAGCGACGCCGCGUGAGCGAAGAAGGUUUUCGAAUCGUAAAGCUCUGUCCUAUGAGAAGAUAAUGACGGUAUCAUAGGAGGAAGCCCCGGCUAAAUACGUGCCAGCAGCCGCGGUAAUACGUAUGGGGCGAGCGUUGUCCGGAAUUAUUGGGCGUAAAGGGUACGUAGGCGGUCUAUUAAGUCAGGUGUGAAAGCGUGAGGCUUAACCUCAUUAAGCACUUGAAACUGAUAGACUUGAGUGAAGGAGAGGAAAGUGGAAUUCCUAGUGUAGCGGUGAAAUGCGUAGAUAUUAGGAGGAAUACCGGUGGCGAAGGCGACUUUCUGGACUUUUACUGACGCUGAGGCGCGAAAGCCAGGGGAGCGAACGGG